rnacentral:rRNA from 1 species
AGUGGCGGACGGGUGAGUAACGCGUGGGUAACCUGCCCUGUACAGGGGGAUAACAGCUGGAAACGGCUGCUAAUACCGCAUAAGCGCACGAGGAGACAUCCCCUUGUGUGAAAAACUCCGGUGGUACAGGAUGGGCCCGCGUCUGAUUAGCUGGUUGGCAGGGUAACGGCCUACCAAGGCAACGAUCAGUAGCCGGUCUGAGAGGAUGAACGGCCACAUUGGAACUGAGACACGGUCCAAACUCCUACGGGAGGCAGCAUG